AACGAACGCUGGCGGCAGGCUUAACACAUGCAAGUCGAACGGGUGUAGCAAUACAUCAGUGGCAGACGGGUGGGUAACACGUGGGAACCUUCCUAGGGGUACGGAACAACUCAGGGAAACUUGAGCUAAUACCGUAUACGUCCGUGAGGAGAAAGAUUUAUCGCCCUUAGACGGGCCCGCGUCGGAUUAGCUAGUUGGUGGGGUAACGGCCUACCAAGGCGACGAUCCGUAGCUGAUCUUAGAGGAUGAUCAGCCACACUGGGACUGAGACACGGCCCAGACUCCUACGGGAGGCAGCAGUGGGGAAUCUUGGAUAAUGGGCGCAAGCCUGAUCCAGUCAUGCCGCGUGAGUGAAGAAGGUCUUCGGAUUGUAAAGCUCUUUUGCCAGGGACGAUAAUGACGGUACCUGGAGAAUAAGCCCCGGCAAACUUCGUGCCAGCCGCCGCGGUAA
rnacentral:rRNA from 1 species